CUGUGUCCAUGUCCCGGCUCCAAGCUGUCAGCUGGCAAGUGGCGGAGGCUGUGAGGUGACCACAACGGACCGAGGGCCACCAGGCAGGACCUGUACGGCCGAGGACCCUGGGUAAGCCAAGGUUCCCGUACUGGAGUUGAAGGCGAGGAGAGCAGGGGCCACGAGCCAAUGGGAAGGCAUGACUGUGAGCGCACCAAUAAGGAGGAGCUGGCGAUGGGGCGGGGGCCUUUGGAAGGGAGGCGGGGCCUGUCCGAGAUGCCGGCCGGAGGGGGAACCCUAGAAGAGCGAGGAGCGUAUUCCGGGUUCCCCACUUCCCCAGCCCCAGUACCUCAGGAUCUAAGCCUCCAUCCUUCUAUCCCCACUGCCCUGCAGAGUCCUGGAGAAGCAGAAACAGCCAAUUCGGACCAAGGCCGGGCGUGGAGGCCUGGGAAGGAGUGGGCGGCCAGGAACCUUCCUCCCUGCUGUUGGCACCUACUCAACCCCAGGGCUGUGGAUGGCUGUGGAAGCCUCUGUUGAGCACCUCCUCCCCAGAACCGGCCUAGCCCAACUGUGUAUGGAGGCCUCCUCAGACAGUGGAAGAACAUAUCUCCGGAGUCUGAGGGUCAGGAUGUGGGCGGCAGGCUGUAGGGAAGGACCAGACCUCGCACCCUCUGCCACCCCCAUUUUCUCCAAUAGCUUCCAGAGGCUUGCUGAUGGCUGUCAGGCCUGCCUGGGCAGCAGGAACCCCUACAGGGAGAGUGGGGGCAACCCAGGCUAUAGGACUGCAGACUCUGGCCAUUCUAGAUCAGCCCUGGGCCAGGCCUGACUUCAGGCUGGAAUCCCUUAGCUCCCCCAAUUUCUGGUCCAGAGUGGAUUCACCUGCCACAGGAGAAAUGCCAACUGCUUUGCCUUGGGGGAAAUGGGGGUGCUGCUGGGACUUGGCUUGUGGAGCUAGCCCUCCCUGAAAGAAGUUAGCGCUCUUACAAAAGGGAACACAGGCGCACCCUAGCAAAACACAGCGACGUGCCCCUUGGGCUGCUACUCCCAGCUCUGGCCCUGAGUUUGGCCCAACCGAGUAGCGGCAGUUCUGAGAAGACACCCCCAGAUGUCCCAAGCACUUCCUGCGGCGCAGGCCCAGCCCUGGAUACAUAAACCCAACACUCCAGCUUC